rnacentral:rRNA from 1 species
UACGGAGGGGGCUAGCGUUGUUCGGAAUUACUGGGCGUAAAGCGCGCGUAGGCGGCUUUGUAAGUUAGAGGUGAAAGCCCGGGGCUCAACCCCGGAACUGCCUUUAAGACUGCAUCGCUUGAAUCCAGGAGAGGUGAGUGGAAUUCCGAGUGUAGAGGUGAAAUUCGUAGAUAUUCGGAAGAACACCAGUGGCGAAGGCGGCUCACUGGACCGGUAUUGACGCUGAGGUGCGAAAGCGUGGGGAGCAAACAGG